GGCGGGAUAAAGUUUAUCCCAUGAGUGAUGAACAGUGGGCGGUCUAGGAAUACUACUUAUUACUACAGCGUGAAAAUUGGUUGGGUUCAUUUCAGAACCAAGGACAGAGACCGAGGGAUGACAAAGAAGCGCGUCAAAGGAAAACUCCAGGGGGACUGACUUAUGAACAUGGAAAUUAAUUUCAGAUAGACAUCCAAAAGUUUUUUCUCCCAUUUAGGGACCUUUUAAAAAAUAUAAACAAAGCCAGUUUCAUCAAAACAGCAGUCGUCCAAAAUCGUCCAAAAUCAAGGAUCAUUCGAACUGAGACAUCAAAGAAGUUGAGACUUGAGUGUUGCACGGAUACAAGAAUCACCACCAAUCAAGUCCUUGUCUUGGUGUUGGGGCUGGGAGGGGGGGGGGAUUGCCUCAUCUCCGGACAUCAGCGCGUUUAUCAUCAUUAGAGCUAUAUCGCUUAGGCUACUUUUCCAUAAUGAAUGCCCUCAAUUUCACCAGUUUUAAUUUCAAUGAUGAGGCACAUGCUUCCCCACUAGUCUACAAAUUCGAUGUUCAAGUCGGGACGGAAGACCCGCUGUACAAGGAGUAUAAGCCGGCAGUCCGGGACCUCAUUCCGUUGCCAAAGGCAGUAGUCUACCUGCUCAUUGCAGCACUGGUAGUGGUAGGAGUCGCCUAUGCUAUAGUUGGACAUCUGAUCAAGGACCUGGCUCUUGAUAUAACAGAAUGUCUUCUUGGCCCCACUGAGGAGGACCUAGAGAAGAACAGAAACCCGGAGUGCUUCAUUGCCAGACACCCCCCCAUAGUCCUGACCCACAAUGCUUUCCACGUGUGGGACACAGAUGAUGUGGGCUUCCCCAUGCCCCUGGAUGAGAGCCCCCCGGGCAGCCCUUUGCUGUUUCCUGCAAUACCCUACAUCCCCUUCUUCCCCACCCAUGGCACCGGCAACAACAACAGCCCUGCUUCCCUGGCCAGAGACAGCAGCCCCUGGCCUGGGCACUGUAACUCCCUCCCCAGCGAGAUCUGAAAGGAGCCAGCAUCAACUCCCUCCAGCCCUGUGGUCACCGGUUGAUUCUGAUUACACCAAGCACGUCACAGGACUCAACAGACCUACUUAAGGUUAUUAACAAGACAACUACAUGGGUUGAAAUGUUAACACCACACAGCAACCAAAGCUUGACAAAGGAGAGUUUGAAGAUCGUGCUGGUGCUAUACAGUAUCAUCCUGUACUGACACUGAGAUUUGUCUACUGCAGGGUUUCUUAAUUAAACUAUGGGUUGGGACCUUGAGUGGGCCCUGGGUAUGUGAAAGGUGGGUUGCGAGUUAUGAGAAUACAUCUACAAUCACACACUAUUUAUUCUUAAUUUGGGUCAUUGGAGGACAAUUUGGGUCAUGGGAGGAUGGUCAAUUUCUCAUUUGCGUCUCGAGCUGAAAAAGUUUAAGAACCCCUAGUCUACUGAAUGGACCCUGUGCAGGACAGGGGUUAAGCAAUGGCUAUUGCCAUGAGAAGAUGAUUUAAAGAUAUGCAACACAUUCAAAAUGAUCCAGAAUGAUCCCACGGAAAAGGAUUUACCAUGUUUCAUCCCAAACCUUACACCAGCCCUCUUUCUUAUAUAACAUUUAAAUACUGCUUCAGUAUCCAUCAAAACAUGGAGGGAUUUGGGGGCCUCUAAAAACUGCUAUUCCUCUGUAAUAUAAAUGUUGAGCUUCAUUUCAAGAUCAAAGUAAAAUUAUCAAAGGGAAAUAAUGAGAACUAUAGGGUAAAGUCUAAACAAGGGAACUGAUUAUUGCUAAAUCUUAACUAAGCUACUUCAAAUAAAGCUUUCAGCAAGUCUCUCAGGACUCAGAUUAUGUUUUGAUGAACUCCUAAAUGUAUUAAUCAUUGACUUGACGAAAUGUCAGAUUUUCUGAUCAAUGCAAAACAUUGCAUGCAUGGUGAUAUAUGUGGAAAUGUGUGCAAAAUGACUCCCAGAUGUGGCUUUGUAGUUGAAAUGAGAGUAUGAGGGUGAACACGAUUAAGGACCAGCUAAUAGGUUUGUCCACUGGUUGUGCCAACUGGGGAAUUUGACUUUACUGUCUGUAUCUACAUAAUAUGAAAAGGGACUACAAAUAUACAGUACCACAUCAAAGCUGAGAUGUUCAAUGAAGUAGUAAAUAUUUGUACCAAGUUCAAACUAAAUGACUAUUACAUCGGUUGUUAUUAUUGAUUGGGUAUGUAGUGUAACUUCUCCAAGUUAGAAACUGCAAACAUGAUAUGAUGCAGCGGAACACACAGGAUCAGAUUUCACAGGAUAAAAAAAAUAUAUAUAUAUAUAUA
rnacentral:lncRNA from 1 species